rnacentral:rRNA from 1 species
GACGAACGCUGGCGGCGUGCCUAAUACAUGCAAGUCGAGCGAAGUUUUUCUGGUGCUUGCACCGGAAAAACUUAGCGGCGAACGGGUGAGUAACACGUAAAGAACCUGCCUCAUAGACUGGGACAACUAUUGGAAACGAUAGCUAAUACCGGAUAACAGCAUUAACUGCAUGGUUGAUGUUUAAAAGUUGGUUUUGCUAACACUAUGAGAUGGCUUUGCGGUGCAUUAGCUAGUUGGUGGGGUAAAGGCCUACCAAGGCGACGAUGCAUAGCCGACCUGAGAGGGUGAUCGGCCACACUGGGACUGAGACACGGCCCAGACUCCUACGGGAGGCAGCAGGAGGGGAA